GCGAAGGUGGCGGAAUGGCAGACGCGCUACUUUGAGGGGGUAGUGAGAUUUUUCUUGUACGGGUUCAAGUCCCGUCCUUCGCACCA
rnacentral:tRNA from 1 species